GACGAACGCUGGCGGCGUGCCUAAUACAUGCAAGUCGAGCGCGGGAAGCUUGCGGAAUCCUUCGGGAGGAAGUGAGCGGACCGAGCGGCGGACGGGUGAGUAACACGUGGGCAACCUGCCCGUAAGACGGGGAUAACCCCGGGAAACCGGGGCUAAUACCGGAUAGGUGACCUUUCUGCAUGGAGGGGUCAUGAAAGGCGGCGGAAGCCGUCGCUUACGGAGGGGCCCGCGGCGCAUUAGCUAGUUGGUGAGGGAAGGGCUCACCAAGGCGACGAUGCGUAGCCGGCCUGAGAGGGUGAACGGCCACACUGGGACUGAGACACGGCCCAGACUCCUACGGGAGGCAGCAGUAGGGAAUCUUCCGCAAUGGACGGAAGUCUGACGGAGCAACGCCGCGUGAGUGAGGAUGGCCUUCGGGUCGUAAAGCUCUGUUGUUCGUGAAGAAGGGGUUGGCCAGGAAAUGGGCCGACAUUGACGGUAGCGAACCAGAAAGCCCCGGCUAACUACGUGCCAGCAGCCGCGGUAACACGUAGGGGGCAAGCGUUGUCCGGAAUGAUUGGGCGUAAAGGGCGCGCAGGCGGCCUCUUAAGUCUGAUGUGAAAGCCCACGGCUCAACCGUGGAGGGACAUUGGAAACUGGGGGGCUUGAGUGCAGGAGAGGGGAGUGGAAUUCCACGUGUAGCGGUGAAAUGCGUAGAGAUGUGGAGGAACACCAGUGGCGAAGGCGGCUCUCUGGCCUGUGACUGACGCUGAGGCGCGAAAGCGUGGGGAGCGAACAGGAUUAGAUACCCUGGUAGUCCACGCCG
rnacentral:rRNA from 1 species